AUGCCUAAGCAAAUCAAUGAGAUUAAGGACUUCCUCCUCACGGCCCGGAGGAAGGAUGCGCGCUCCGUGAAAAUCAAGAGAAGCAAAGAUGUUGUCAAAUUCAAGGUUCGAUGCUCCAAGUAUCUUUACACCCUUUGUGUGUUCGAUACUGAGAAAGCUGAUAAGUUGAAACAAUCACUUCCUCCAGGUUUGAAUGUGCUGGACCUGUAA